rnacentral:ncRNA from 2 species
AUUACUUCACAACACCGAGCUACCGGCUCUAAGCCUAAUAAACGUGUAUCUAAGGGUAUAACUCAAUAGAUUUUGACAUGCACGGGCAUUUGGGAUGAGCGGUAUGCCGUGGCACUAACGCCACCGGGUAUGACGGGAAACGGUCAUACCUCCCCAUUUGGAAAGGUGAAUUAUGCUAACUGAC